UACAGAGGUCUCAAGCGUUGUUCGGAUUCAUUGGGCGUAAAGGGUGCGUAGGCGGCGCGGUAAGUCGGGUGUGAAAUUUCGGAGCUUAACUCCGAAACUGCAUUCGAUACUGCCGUGCUUGAGGACUGGAGAGGAGACUGGAAUUUACGGUGUAGCAGUGAAAUGCGUAGAGAUCGUAAGGAAGACCAGUGGCGAAGGCGGGUCUCUGGGCUGACACUGACGCUCAUGCACGAAAGCGUGGGGAGCAAACAGG
rnacentral:rRNA from 1 species